rnacentral:rRNA from 1 species
GCAGGCGAGAAUACUGUGCAAUGCGCGAAAGCGCGACACGGGGAGCUUGAGUGUUUUGGCAUAGCCAAGACUUUUCUCAUUCCUAAAAAGCAUGAGGAAUAAGUGCUGGGUAAGACGGGUGCCAGCCGCCGCGGUAACACCCGCAGCACAAGUGGUGGUCACUUUUAUUGAGCCUAAAGCGUUCGUAGCCGGUUUUGUAAAUCUUUAGAUAAAGCCUGAAGCUUAACUCCAGAAAGUCUAAAGAGACUGCAAGACUUGAGAUCGGGUGAGGUUAAACGUACUUUCAGGGUAGGGGUAAAAUCCUGUAAUCCCGGAAGGACGACCAGUGGCGAAAGCGUUUAACUAGAACGAAUCUGACGGUAAGGAACGAAGGCUAGGGUAGCAAACCGGAUUAGAUACCCCCGUAGUCC